ensembl:snRNA U4 U4 spliceosomal RNA
AGCUUUUUGCAGUGGCAGUAUUGUAGCUAAUGAGGUUUAUCCGAGGCAUGAUUAUUGCUAAUUGAAAACUUUUCCUAAUACCCUGCCAUGACGACUUGAAAUAUAGUUGGCAUUGGCAAUUUUUGACAGUCUCUAUGGAGA